rnacentral:rRNA from 1 species
GAGGAAGUAAAAGUCGUAACAAGGUUUCCGUAGGUGAACCUGCGGAAGGAUCAUUACAGAAAGUAAACGCGGAUCAAACCGCGAACUUUUAAACCUUUGACGAUUGACUCAUGUUGCCUCGGCGGGUUCUCCCGCCAGAGGAUACAUCAAAACUCCUGUUUUAACGGUGUUGUCUGAGCUACAAGCAACGAAUCAAAACUUUCAACAACGGAUCUCUUGGUUCUGGCAUCGAUGAAGAACGCAGCGAAAUGCGAUAAGUAGUGUGAAUUGCAGAAUUCAGUGAAUCAUCGAAUCUUUGAACGCACAUUGCGCCCCUUGGUAUCCCGAGGGGCAUGCCUGUUCGAGCGUCAUUUCACCACUCAAGCCUGGCUUGGUGUUGGGCGACGUCCCCUUCAGGGACGCGCCUCGAAACGCUCGGCGGCGUGGCACCGGCUUUAAGCGUAGCAGAAUCUUUCGCUUUGAAAGUCGGGGCCCCGUCUGCCGGAAGACCUACUCGCAAGGUUGACCUCGGAUCAGGCAGGGAUACCCGCUGAACUUAAGCAUAUCAUUAAGCGGAGGAA